GCCGACGAGGCGCGACUGGCAGCGCACCGGUCUUGUAAACCGGAGGGAGCGGGUUCGAGUCCCGCCGUCGGCUC
rnacentral:tRNA from 1 species